GACGAACGCUGGCGGCGUGCUUAACACAUGCAAGUCGAACGGAGUGGCGAACGGGUGAGUAACACGUGGGUGAUCUGCCUUGCACUUCGGGAUAAGCUUGGGAAACUGGGUCUAAUACCGGAUAGUGCAAGAUGAGGUCGCGGCCUAUCAGCUUGUUGGUGGGGUAAUGGCCUACCAAGGCGUCGACGGGUAGCCGGCCUGCGAGGGUGUACGGCCACAUUGUGGCUGGGAUACGGCCCAGACUCCUACGGGAGGCAGCGAUGGAGAAUAUUGCACAAUAGGCGGAGACCUGAUGCAGCGACACCGCGUGGGGGAUGAAGGCCUUCGGGUUGUAGACUCCUUUCGACAGGGACGCGGUACCUGUAUAAGAAGCACCGGCUAACUACGUGCCAGCAGCCGCGGUAAUUC
rnacentral:rRNA from 1 species